GGGCCGUUAGCUCAGCUGGCAGAGCACCGGACUUUUAAUCCGGGUGUCGAAGGUUCGAAUCCUUCACGGCUCACCA
rnacentral:tRNA from 1 species